CAGCGAUGAUCGUCAGCAUGCGUUAUCCGACGCGUACCUCGUUUGUAUUUCACUCCCCAAGCCUCCAGAGACUCCUCUCGGGUUACCUUUUGGUCGCGGGAGAGGCUCUCGAAAUUUACGCGCGCCAACACAAAACGAGGGAGUCCAGGAGCGGACCAAGGCCUUAAAUGUGUGGGAAAACAGAGUUACAGAGAUUCUUCUGGGGUGUCUUCGAAUAUAGUCCGCCCCUGAGCCUGAGCGUGUCCCAAAAUGCAUUCCUCGAUCGCGUGCUGUGUGAGUGUGUGUGGGGAUUGGGUGGGGUAUUGCCUGGUUUCAAUGUGCGUCGCGAGUCGCGACGACGGCACAGCGACGAUUAUGAUGAUUAAAAUUGAUAAGCGAAAUAUUUUUAUCAUUUCUCAAAUUAACAUAAACCAUAUGCGAUUAUCACACAAUAAGCUCAGCGGCUGUUGUGGCCACAACAGGCAACAAACACUCUGCCUCUGCCUCUCUUUUUUUGUUGUUCGCUUUUUAUAAGCUUUUAUGGCCCGCCUCUGACUGCGUUCGCUUAUAAGUUAUGGCAUUGCUGCGAAAUUAUGGCAUUGGCCAUUGGAUUUGGUCGCGGCAAAAGUGUCAAUGGGCAAAACAUGAAAUUUAUGAGGAUUUACCAGCCCCAGCGGUCAUGUCACGGUCUUACAGUGUGUCCUGCCCCAUAAAGAGGCUUUUAUUCAACUCUUAACCUAUGCGUGCUUACGGGACUAAAACGGUUUGAAGCGUCGCGACUGCUUCAGCAGUUCAAUUUUUCGCUUAUCCUCCUCGAACUUUUUGCGCAUCUCGACGAUAUUCUGCAUUUUACUUUCGCGUAUCUGGAAGGUGUAAAAGUUUUUCAGCUCCUUCGUUUUUGUGUCGUUUGCCCGCUUCUUCUCGAGGCGUCCGAUGACGGACUCCUUCUGCUCGAAGCCAGCAUUGCGACCCUCUUUGCCCACAGUGACCCAGCCAUCGGCGUCGGCUUCGCUAUUCUUGGCUGCCAGUGCGGCCGCUCGCUCUCUCCGGUCAUAGUCGGCCAUAUAUUCGCUGAUCUGUGCCUUUGUCUUCUCCGCAUCCAGCAAGUAAUGAUUUUCGUACUCUUCGUGCCACAGAUCCAUGCCCGUUUUGAUGGUGGACUCGCCGCUGCCGCUGUCGAACAGGUCAAUGCUCGGCACGGCCAAGGCCUUGGCCAGGCUGCUGCUCUUCUGGAACACCACGCUUCGCUGCAAAUUGUACGCUCUCCACGUUGCCGGCCCGCUUGAAGAAACCCUUCAGGCCGUCCUCCGUCACAUAGGGCGGUAUAUUGAGCAGGAACAACGUGCGACCCUUGGGUUUAUUCGGAUCCAUCAGCCGGAUGAAGUGCUCCCGCAUGUAAACGCUGUGGCAGUGCUGUGCGUCGCGGCUCAUUCGCAGAGGAACAACUAGAAGUCAGUUUUGAUGCUCCUUCCUGCAGAGGGUAUUAUAAUUCUGAUCACAUGUUUGCAAGGCAGAUUGGAAAGUCUUGGAAAACAAAACAACUGAAUGAUGGAUCUUCAAGGGUAUCAAGAG